rnacentral:lncRNA from 1 species
ACUAGAUCAAUUUGAGGUUCUUUACUUGGAUUGCGAAGAAAUGCAAUCUCCUUUCAUACACUAUUCAUAAGAGUUUGAAAAUCUGCAAGAGUUGCCACUCUAUUGUCUACUUGUGGAGAUGCAAUGUCUAUGACUUAGUCUACUUCCAUAUUUAGAGAAUAGAUGGAUUAAAAUUUUGAGAGAAGAAGAAAUUGCUAAGUCUCUUGGAGAAAAUUGUAGCACUACCUGUCACUAAAACCUACUCGGAGAAAAGGAAAUAAAAACACUAAACGAUUUCAGUUUUAGAGGAUGGUAAUCCGCAACCUCUAAAAAUGCCUCAAUGCUUUCGAGAAGAGGGGUAAUCCGUACUCUAUCAAGAAGGCAAAGCUCUGAAAUCGAUGUUAACAGUCUUUUCUACUAGCUAUGCUAAACAAAAAGAAGGAAUUAAUAUCAGUCCAAGAGAGGGUAAUCCGCAACCCUUAGAACGCUCAAGUAUCUCCAAGGAAAGGGGUAGUCCACUCUCUGCCUCAAAGAACUAAGCUCUGAUAUUGUGAUUGAGAAAAUAUCAGUUUAGAGGAAGGUAAUCCGCAACCCCUAAAGCGCUAGAAUACCUUCAAGAAGAGGGGUAAUCCACUCUCAAACAAGAAGGAUUCAGCUCUGAUAUUAAGAUAAAGGUAGUCUCGACAAACUGUCACGGACACAAAAUACAGACUUGAAAUCUAACAAGAAGUUCAAGAAGAAGUGGCAGAACUAGAUUAAACAGAUGAAUACAAGAACAACACCAGAAAGGUGAGC